GAGACGCUUCUCUUUGGGCCGCAGCACUUUAUAGCAAACGCGGAGCACUGCUGACGUCAGAGGCCUUAGUCUCCGCCCCGUUACUCUCUCGAUCGCUUUCUUCCAAUACCGAAAAAAGGCAGGCAGUGAGCAGGGCAGCUUUGAGUGAAGCAUUGGGGACCUCCUCGCUCGCGCCAAAGUUGAAGUGAAGGAAGGAGGAGAAGGACGUCGCGAAAGGGACCCGGGUAGGAUUCUCUCGGGUGCGAGCUUCCAACUUGCAAGGUCUUGUUUAUAAAAAUAGCCACGCUGGGAUUACUGAGGCUACUGUAUCAAUCACCUUUGAUAAUUUUGAGAAGAAGCGGAGUCCCCUAGGAUUUGAGAAGCAUGACGAGGUAACAGUCACAAGGCAGGCGCUUCUAACAUGUGCAGUGUGAUGAGACAAACUGCAGAGGGUGCCCUAUGACUGAUUCUUUGCAACAGAUUUCCACCCAGAACGGCACAUCCGUCAGUACAUUAAAAAGAAAGAAAGAAAAGUGGGUGGUUCGAUGAUUAGCAGGACCACAAACACAGGACCACAUGAAAUCAUUCUAGGCAAGUCUCGUCAUUCUGCACUCGGGCGGCCAACUGUGCCAGUUGCCAGUAAAGUCUCUUAGAAUGUGAUGGUGCAAUCCCCCUCCAAUGGCUACCCUCCUUGCUCUCGUUUUUCGUGAGUCGCUGUGGUUCUUAGAAUUACACUGUGUACUGUAGGCUGAGAUGAAGUGGUUCUCUGGAGAGCAGCAGCAGCAGCAAAUGACUAAAUUAUUUUAAAUGCACUCAGAGAUGAGUUCAUAAGAGGGAGACUCCAUUUAUUUGGAAAUAGGAAAUGAAAUUCAAGUCAAUAAACUCUUCACAUCAAGCAUAAAUCUGAUUUUUUUGGGGGGGGGG